rnacentral:rRNA from 1 species
CACGUAGGGUGCGAGCGUUGUCCGGAAUCAUUGGGCGUAAAGAGCGCGUAGGCGGUCCGGUAAGUCCGCUCUGAAAGUCCGGGGCUCAACCCCGGGAGGCGGGCGGAUACUGUCGGGCUAGAGUCCGGAAGAGGCGAGUGGAAUUCCCGGUGUAGCGGUGAAAUGCGCAGAUAUCGGGAGGAACACCAAUGGCGAAGGCAGCUCGCUGGGACGGUACUGACGCUGAGACGCGAAAGCGUGGGGAGCAAACAGG